GUCGGUGGGACCAGGCUAGGCCCUUUUGCACUUCUAUGCUGCUGCCAUGGAGAACAUAGCAUUUGUUUCUUCUGGGGGAUGCAGAGGCAGGCAUCAUCUUGGAAGCAGACACAAGGCCCUUGCCAGACAGCAACCCUGUUGGUACCCUGACUUUGGACUUCUGGCUUCCAGAACUGUGAGCAAUACAUUUAUGUUCUUUAUGAAUCACCAAGUUGCAGGUAUUUUGCUGUAGUACCACAAACAGACUAAGAUGCUAUCUAUCAAAUGAGAGAAUUGGAUUUAAUAAUUUAAUGGUUACUACUAAACCAUAAUUUGAAAUGCUCACCCCACCGCCACCACCCUAGGACAGAAGUUGCUGGAUUUUGAAUCACAUGAAUUUGCAGCCAUGGUCACAACUAGAGACUGGAGACUGGACUCGAGGGAGACCUGUUGGCUUCUGCAGUUGCCUGGCCUGAGAGCUAUGUCUUAGAGGAGUGGAGCCAAGGGUGAGUAGCUACACCAACCAAACCCUUUCUGCAAAGGAGUGAAGACACAUGGUGAGGCACAGAAGGUGAAGAAGCUCAGAGACAGUCAUGGAAAAGCCAGAGACAGAGCCACAGGCUGACACAGGAGUGAGUGGGUGAGGAGUUUCCAGGAAAAAUAGAAACAGAGUCAGGGGGAAGUGAGGGAGCAAGGAGUAUUGUUGGAUUCUGGCACCAGGGACGGUGCCAUGAGUGACUGGAGGUGGUGUCCAGUGCUUCCUUCUUUCCCACACAGUUUAAAUGAUGUAUAAGCUCUUUGCAUUUUCAUUUCACACUUAAAUAGGGCCAGAUACUGUUUUAAGCACUUUGUAUCCUUAUCAGAUAUACAUUACCAUGAUUUAUGCUCUGUAGAGGCACAGCAGAGAGGAUAAAGGACUUGCCCGAGUGAACACCUAGUAAAUGGCAGAGCCAGGAUUCAAACCCAGGCUGCUGGUUGAGUCCAGGCCCUUACACCACAAUGUUUUCAUAAACAGCAAGUAAUGUUUGAGCACCUCGCAUCUACCAAACCCUGUGCUAGGUACUUUACUCUUAAUUUCAUCUAUUCGGUUGUAUGUUAUCUCAUUUAAUUCUUAAAAACUCUAUGAAGUAGAUAUCAAAAUUCCUAUUCUACAGAUGAGAAAAUUGGGGCUCAAAAAAGUUAAAUACAAAGUCCAACAGCUGGAAGGCCUGCCUGGAAUGGUAAAGAAAUACCACUCAACAGUUCCCCUCUGAAUUGUGGAGGCAGCUGAGCCUCCCGGUCUUUGCAUUUGCCAUUCACAGUGACAACCUGUGCACUAUCUGUCAUUUCAAGAACUGUGAAAUAUGAGAUAGAGCCUCCAUAUGUUAAAAAUUCACAGGCAUUUGUAGAAGCUGCAGUUAAAGUGGGGGAAGGGAAGAAAGCACAAAGGAUAAAGCUUGUGUUGGUUGAAAUGAACUAUUUUUUUCUUUCAUCUUUUCUGCCUCCUGUUUAAUUGUUUAUAGAGAUAAAUAAAGCUGGGAAAAUUGCAUUUGUCAGAUUUCAACAGGGCUUAGAUUUGUGGUUCUUUCUUCACUGCUGCCCAAGACGGUGAAAACUCUUUUGUUAAUAGUAGGUUUGUUAGCUGAUUUUCUACUUAGAUACUUAUAUUUUUUGUCUUUGUAUAAGAAAAUAAUAUUCAAGUGAUACCCUCAUCUUAAAAAGAUAAGCAUAAAAUAUAAGCAUAAAAGAUAAGCAUAAAAUAUGCAAGUGGAAAAGAAACCUGUGAGCUAACCAGCCUUGUUGCCUAAAACGAUUUACUUCUUAUAUCAUGCAUAAAUCGGGAAGUAAGAAAAUGAGCCACAGAACCGUGGUUGCUGGGAAGAUCUAAUAAGAAAACAUUAUUUCCUUGAUAUUUAGGCUGUUGUGUUUUCAGAAUCACCUUGUAAGUCCUCUCACUGCCUUUGGGAGGUGGACCACAUUACAUGUAAAUGAGUAAUCUUCAAGAUGUUAGGUAUGGGUACAUGGCAGCAUCAGGAUUUCAAGUAACUCUCUGUCUAGGGACAAGGGGUUAAAAUUAUCACAAAACAAUAUUGAGAGGGGUUUUCCUCUUAAUUAGUUUUCUGGCAUACAAUUAAUAUAAGUUCAUGUUUUAAAUUCAAACACCAUAGAAACACAAAUCUAAGAAAGUCUUUUAAUCCUACUUGAAAAUAUAAAUUUUGGCAAUAGUUUGCUAUGUAUUCCACGGCAUCAUCACUGUUAGUAAUAAUAUGGAAGGUCACAUUCUCAUAGCACAGAAUGGGUCGCCAAACAUUUUUACAGAAAGGAUCUCAAGGCUCACAUGUUUUCCAUAAUUUGUUUUUCCUGUGGUUAGAGGGGAUGUUGAGCCUGUGCCUUUGAGACCCUAAUGAUCUAGACAACGAGACUCAUAUCUGCCUGAGGUCACAGAAUAAACAUUUUAACUGAGCUGACUACUCCCUGCAGACUGGGGAGCUGGCUGCCCUCCCUUCCAUCAGCUCUGAUGAGCUGUUUGACAGAGCUCAAUGAUUGUUUUGACAUUUUAUAGACACAGCCUCAGCCACUCCAGACAGAAGGAAGUCAGCCAGCUACCAAAAUUUCAACAGCUGGGAUCCACAGGCUUAUAAUAAAUUAAUUUGUAAACAUUUGAAUGACUUGAAUUGAGAAAUUGAAUAUUUUCAAAAGAUAUGCAAGGUGGAGUCAUAGAAUUUCAGCACCAGUAGGGACCUCAGAAAUCGACUGAUGUAGUCUAUACCUUUUUAUUUUAUAGUGAAGAAAACUGAGCUACAAAGUUGGAAAGGGAACUAACUUAUAAAUGUAAUCCCAUUUGGUUGAAAAAAUACUUUCUGAACAUCAAUUAUUUGCUAGAUUCUUGUGAGUUGUUUGAGUUAAAUCUGUUUCCAGCUUUUGUAGAUUUGAUGGUCCAUGAUUUACUGCUUAAGAUAUCAUAAAAGCAUAAGGUGAAAUAUUCUGAACAUUUUCAUGAGAUGAGAGAGAUUGUUUUGUUUGGGCUGACAUAUCAAAAAUGCCAUAGACUGGGUGGCCUCAAAACAAUGAAAUUUAUUUCUCACAGUUCCGGAGGCUUUGAAACCUAAGAUUAAAAUGCUGGUAUAUUCAGUGUCUGGGAAGGACUUGCUUCUUGGUUCACGGAUGGCCAUCUUCUCACUGCAGCCUCCUAGAGUGGAAAGUGGAGAGGGCAUUCUGUCGGCGUUUCUUUUGUAAUGGCAUCAGUUUCAUUCAGGAAGUCUCCAUCAUAAUCAUCUAGUCACUUCCUGAAAGCCUAACCUCCAACUAUCCUCACAUUGGGGAUUAGGUUUCAACAUAUGAAAAGUUAUAGCAGAGUUUAAUUCUACCUCUUUCCAUAUCCCUAAAGUAUAUACUGGAGUGAAAGACUGUAUAUAUAUAUAUAUAUACCAGCUCACGCACUGCAUCCCCCUUCUAUAGUUCCUGCCCCUCAUGGAACUCUCCCCCAGAGACCUCAUGAGCCUCAUCUGUAGCACUUGACUCUUCGUCUCACAUUGUGGUCUCCUCCCUCGUCACCUCACACAAAGCAAACCCUCUCUCUGCUGAUAUUUUUAUUUCUGAUGUCUAUCAUGUGUGUUGAAUAAAAAGCUCUUCAAUUAGUGGAGAAAUUUCUGUUUCUUUAAGAGAUAUUUCACUUUUUGUGGUAUGUAUGUAGCUCCCCAGAUACAUAUUUCUGGAGUGUUAGAUCAAAUAGGUGUGCAGACUUGGGAAUAUAGAUUCAAUAUACUUGGGCUGGGAGUGUGGGGCUCAGUGGUAGAGACCCUGUUUAGCAUGCAUGAGGUCCUGGGUUAAAUUCCCAGCAUGGAAUAAAUAAAAUAAAUAAAUAAAUAAAUGAUGAAUAAAAUAAAUUCAAUUUACCUCCUAAAAAUACAGGUGUGUGGCCUCUACAUCACAUUGUCCUCUCAGGUUCAUAGCCUAUUUGUUCAUGCUCUGAUUUUUAAGCAGCGCAAUUAAUGUCAUUUACCAAAAUCAAACCUGGUAUUCUUCUUUGUAGAAGGCCUAUAGGAGAAAUAUUGGUUUAUGGUAUUUUGACCAUUGCUAAAGCUGCUUAGGGCAAGUCCCUGCAGUGUUCAUUUAUGCUGUCUGAUGUCCAAACAUUCCUUCUGUCUUAUCCCUAGACUGGAAGCUAAAAUUGCAGAUUCUCUUACUCACAGCUCUUUUAGCCAGAGCAUGGUUAUGGUCUAGGCAAACCCCCAGAUGCCUCAGCCUGGUGAAUCUGAAGCAAGUGAUAGAAGCAGAGAGUUCUGAAUUCAGUGUGGUAGAGACAGAGGCAUCAGAGGGAGGUAGUGCUCUGUGGUCAAAUGCCAGCAUUAGCCACAGGGGCCUAGUGCCAGUGGUAUUGGCUGUGGUAUUAGCUAUGUUGUGGAACCAACUUGACUGGACAUAAUUUGAUCAUUACUCUGGAUGCUUAGCUUUUUUUCUUGGGUUCUGCCUUGUUUACUUUUCUUUUCUUUUUUCUUUUUUUGGUCUUGCUAGGGACUGCACCCAGGGUCUUGGGCAUGCAAGGCAAGCACUCUACCAACUGAGCUAUAUCCCUAACCCCUGCCUUGUUUUCUGACUUUUGUUGUUUAACUUCCCCAUGAGGUCUGUGAGUUAGCCAGUAUCCUUCUACUAAAUUUCUUUGCUGCUUAAAGUAAACCCAGAUUGUUUUCUGUUGAACUAAGAAUUUUGACCAAUAUAGUCAUGAAAUAAUAAUAUCCAUGUUUGGAUUUUAGUAGCUGAUUUUGGACUUCAGACUCUUUAUUCCUUUUAUAUUUUGUGACUGCUUUUAGUAGAGUAAGUUUAAUUUUGUGGAAAAAUGAAUAAGGUGUCCUGGAUUCCAAUCUUAGCCCUGACAGUUACCAGCUGAAACUUUCGAGGCAUGAUUUAACUUCCUUGAGCCCCUAUUUUCUCAUCGAUAGAAGAGGAACUAUUAUGGGCCUGUUUUGUGUCUUUGCUAAAUUUAUAUGUUGACUUCCUAACCUCCAGUACCUCAGAUGUUACUGUACUCAGAGAUAAGGUCUUUAAAGAAAUAAUUAAAAACACCCAAGGUCAUUGGCAUGAGCCCUGAUCUAGUACAAUGGUGUCCUUAAAAGAAGAGGAAAUUGGGGCACAAAUAGGUGGGAGGGAAGUCUAUGUGAAGAAACGGGGAGAAGGCUGCCUUCUAUGAGAUGAGAAGAAAGAAAACAACCCUGCUCACACCUUGAUCUUGGGCUUCUAGUCUCUAGGAGAGUGAGAAAAUAAGUUUCUGCUGAUGAAGCUACCCAGCCUGUGGUUAUGGCAGCCUUGGCAAACUAAUAUGGGGACAGUAAAAUUUGUCUCAUGGGAUGUUGUAAAGAUCUAAAGAUAUAAUGUACGUAAAGCAUAGGUAUUCCAAAGACUGUUCACUCUUUUUCUUUUUUUUCUCUGUAAUUUUCCAUGUAUUUUCCCCUUUAUUAUUCCCUUCUACUUCUUCCAAUUUUACUAUGAUUUUAAAAAUCAGGGAUAUUUUAAGUUAAGGGAAUAUGAAAAAUAUUUUUGAUUUUAGAGAUCCAGAUCUUUUCUCUAAGAAAAAAGGGAAAGAAUAUGACAAAAAUAUGAUCUAUUUUGAAAAAACUUAAAUUAUGAAACCUGAAAGAAAUAUCACCAGCACCCUGAGCCUUGACUUUAUCAUCUUAUGUCCAACUGAUACCUUCCCCAUUUUCCCUGCCUGUUUCUUGAUGCAGAAUAUAUUUUUCUGACAUUGAGUCUCACUGCAGUCAGCAUCACCCAGUGACACGAAUGCUUGAGAUCUUAACCUGCUGAUGAGAGGAAGUUUCCCUAAGAUAAAACAGGUCAAAAUCCUGACCUAAAGUUAUUUUUUUUAAAAAAGAAGUCUGUCUGUAUCAUGAACUCAGAGAUGAAAAUUCACAGUAUUAGGAUCACUAGAAAAACCUGAAAGUAAAAUGUCUUAAAAAAAAAUACUGAAAAUGAAGACAUUUGGUUAGAAACCAAGCUUGAAUGUUUGAGUUAUUUUUAGAAAAAUUAUUUGUGAUUUUCACUUAUGAGAUGGGUAAAAAUUUUAAACUGGAAUAAUACCUGCUGUUGGUGACAGUGGGUAAAAAUUUGACAAUGGAAUAUAAAUUAUUGUGAUAGUUUAAAGAGGAAAUUAUUAAUAUGCAUAAAAACUUCAGUGUACUUUAAUUCUCAGUUUCAUGGCUAGGAAUCUUUCUAUAUGUUCAUUAACACAUGCAAAUUACUGCAGAACUACUUUAUUUAUGUCUUUUUUCUUUUAUUGUAGUACUGCUUUUGAUAGUUUAAAAUAGAGAUGGUAAGAAAUGCAAAGGCCCUAAAAUAAUGAACUAGCUAAAUUAUGGUCCAACCACACAAUAAUUGCAAAAUUACUGUUAAGGUAGGUCUUUACGGGUUGGCAGGGUGAAUUAUGUGAAAAAAGACCCAAAUAACCGUAUAAAGAGUAUGUUCCCUUUUGUGUGCAUGGAUAAGGUACAUAUGUGGUUUAUGUGUGAGAAAUUUAUUUUCUGAGAAGGUUUAAAAAAGUGUUAAUAGUCAUUAUUUCUGAGAGUAAUGCUGAGUCCAGCAGGAAAAACAUCAUUAGUUUUUAAUUCUUUCUGUAUUACACAUACAUACACAUAGCUGAAUUAUUUAUAUUUUAAAUGUCUACCCUAUUCAUAAUUCAAGUUUCUCAGACUCAUGUGAGAAUCCCUCAACACCACUCUGAGUCACACAGAACACUUGGCAGAAGACUAAAAGACGUUGAAACCACCACUUCAAGCACACACCUGGAAUCCCAGCUACUCGGAGACUGAGGCAGGAGGAUUGAAAGCUUGAGGAACAGUCUCCUCAACUUAGCCAGACCCUGUCUCAAAAAAAAAAAAAAGUCUGAGAAUGUUGUUCAGGGUAGAUUGUCCCUGGGUUCAAUUUCCGGUACUACUUCCCCCAAAAUUAACACUUCCAUAUUCAAAAUUAAGUUGACGUACUUGGUGGUUGUCAUUUUAUAUUUAAAAUGUGAGCAAAAUGUGAUCAAAGAAGAAUGGUUUGUUAUCUAUGGCUGCCUAGCAUAUUACCAUAAAACUUAGCACUUAAAACAACGCACAUCUAUUUCCUCUCAAUUACUGCAAUUCUGCUGGCUCAGUGUCUUUACAAGUUUGCAGUGAAGAUUGAGGCAGGGGCCUCAAUCAUCUCAAAGUUGGACCACGGGGGGAUUCUCUGGAAACUUACAGUGUUGACAGCAUCCAGUUAUUUGUGGGCAGGAGCUGGCUUGUGGCUGCAGCCUCUUUAAUUGCUUAUCAAGGGGCUUUUCCAUAGAAGAGUCACAAGAUGACUUCUAGCUUCAUCAGAGAGAGCAAGGGUGGGGGUGGGGGACUGGGGAGAGCGAGUGCCAACAAUGCAAGCAAGAAGGAGCUAAGCUCUAAAGCACAACCUAAACUCUGAUGAAAUUCCUUCACUCUCACCAUGGUCUAUGGUUAGGUGCAAGUCACAGGUUCCACCCACACUCUAGAAGAGGAGUUACCAAGGACAGGAAUUCUAGGUGGUAGGAUUACUGGACUCCAUCAUCAAAGCUUUUUGUUGCAAUUGCACUGCAUCAUCAAUAAAUUGGGGGGAUAGUAACAUAUUCACAACAUUAAGUCUUGCAAUCAAAAACUGUAACAUCUGUAUGUACUUUGGUCUUGGUCUUUGUCUUCCAAUAAAGCUUUCCUUUUAGCUGUAAAAAAAAAAAAAAAAGCUGACAGCCUCAAGAGACUUAUGAUGAAUAUUUCUGCCUCAAAUGAAAUGCCAAUUUCAUUUGCAAAAUCAAAGCUUGAAGCACCAAGACACGGAUAUUACAUGUUUUGGAUACACUUAUAGUAUUUUUGUUAAGUGAAAAUCAUCUGGCCAAUAACUUGAAUUUUUUUAUUCUUCUUAAUUAUACAUGACAGUAGAAUGCAUUUUGACACAUCAUACAUAAACGGAAUACACCUUCUCCUUUUUCUGGUUGUACAUGAUGUAGAUUCACACUGUUUAUGUUAGUCAUAUGCACAUUCUACUGUCCUUCUCCCCCCCAUACCCCUUCCCCUAUGCCUAAUACAAAGUACCUUUGUUGUUCCCUAGCCACCCACCUUACUGUAAGUUAGCAUCUGCAUAAAACCUUCCAUCUUUGGAUUUUUGGGAUUGACUUACUUUGCUUAGCAUGAUAUUCUCCAGCUCCAUCAAUUUACCAGCAAAUGCCAUAAUUUCAUUCUUCUUUAAGGCAAAGAAGUUAAAAUCAGCAUACUACAGUGACACAGCCACAUCAAUAUCUAUAGCAGCUCAACUCACAAUACUAAACUAUGGAACCAACCUAGGUGCCCUACAACAGAUGAAUAGAUUUAAAAAAUGUGGUAUAUAGUAACUUGAAUCUUAUCAUAAAAAUUCUACUAUGUAAUAGCAAUAAUAUAAUUAUAUAAUAUAUUGUGCAUUAUAUUAAUAUUUAUUGUCAGACUAAAUAUAUCUUAUUAUAUUUAAUUCUGACAACUAAGUGUUAGAAUCUUCAGCUUUCAGAUAAGGAAACGGAGAGACAUUAAGUAAGGUUAAGGUAUUACAUACUCAUCAUAUGAUGAGUACAUAGUUCCAACCCUCUCUGUUCUGACUUCAGAGUCUAUACUUUUGUUCAUCAUAUUCUGCUACCUUUCAAGAUUAUAUUUAAGAACAUAUAAAAUGAUUUUGAGAAACAUGCUUUUUAAAAAAUCAUAAUCUGGACAUAAAUAAAUGCUAAUCAUUUUCCAAACAGCAUGGCAAUAAUCUCCUAACUAAUAAAUUCAAGGAAUUCAUGAUGGAUUGGGUCAAUCAAGAUCUCUACCUCUUUUGAGCAUUGAAACUGAAAGGCAUGGAACACUUAUCACUUGGUGAUGAGCACUGCAGCUAGAAGUUGAAAUAGAGUUGGGAUUCACAGCCAAAUUGAAUCAUACGCAAGAUGAGAAAGCAGAAAAAGCCAAAGGAGAGAGGAGAUGAGAGACAAAUCAGUUCACAGGAAGAAGCAAAGAUGAGAGGCAAGGGGGUUCCUGAGAGAGGUCCUGAGCAGAUUUCUUACAAGCAAUGAGACAGAAUGAGAGCAAUAGCAACUCCAAAUAUGUAUAGAAGGGUGGCAUAUACUAACAAGACAUUACAAAUCAGCAGUGAAUGCAGGAACUCUUCAGAAAAGGAAAAAAAUUCUUUAUUUUAUUUUUUCUUAGAAGUAUUUUUUAGUGCCUUUUUCUUGUGUAAAAAAUAUGACCUUCAUAACUAUAUCAACAUAUUAGGUAGAUUAAAGAUCUAAUAUGAUAUAUAAUAUGAAAAUGUAGGUACUGAGCUUGAUUUGUUAAAUGUAGACAUUUUAUAUAUUUAUCAAUACAUUAUUUUGUAUAUCAAAAAUAUAUAAUUUUUAUGUCAGUUUUAAAAAUUAAAUAUAUAUAUAUUUAAUUUUAAAUAUAUAAAUAUAUAUAUAUAUAUAUAAAUAUAUAUAUAUAUAUAAAUAGAUCAGUAGGGGAGGGACAACUUUUCCUUAGAGAAUUCCAACUAAUAAAUGUAGAAAUAAUGAAGGAAAUGAAAGAUUACUAUUAGGACACCAUAGUAAUUGCUGCAGGCAAGAUCCACAAGUAGUCAUUAAAUUAAUGGAUGAAAGUUUAAGAACAGGAUAUUUGCAUAAUCUCAAGGUACCUUGCCCACAUAUUUGUUAAGUAUAAAGAGAAAAUUGUAAUUUUACAGGAUAGAAACCUUUCAUACACCACCUCAACUACUUGUUAAUAUUAAUAUCACCAGUACUGAUGUUUUGAGAUGAUGUACCCAUCGACAUGACCCACUGAGAACAGCAUGUCAACUCUGUGGUGUUCUUCUCAUGGAUAGACAACCACAAUAUAAUCAUAAGGAAACAAGAAAAUUUCAAAUUGGGGGACAUUCUACAAAAUAACUUAAGUUCUCUGAAGUUUCAAUGUUAUGAAACAAUAAGAAAAUUGGAGAAACUAUAAUAAACUGGACAUUAAGGAGACAUAAUGACUCAAUGCAAGGAGAUUUUUGGAUGAGAAUUUGGGCAGAAAAAGGACCUAAAUGGGAAUACUGAUGCAAUCUGAACAGAGACUGAAGUUUAAUAAUAGAAUAUAACAAUGCUAAUUUCUUAAUUUUAAUAUAUGUGCUUUGGUUACACAAGAUAUUAACAUUAGGAGCUGGAGAUGUAGCUCAAUAGCAGAGUAUUUGCCUAGUUUGUGUAAGGCCCUGGGUUGGAGCCCCAGAACCACAAAAACCAAAACAAAAAGAUGUCAAUGUUAGGAGAAGUUAGGGAACUCUCACUACUAUUUUUGCAAAUCUUAUAAGUCUAAAAUUAUCUCAUAAUUGUUAUGGUGAGGUUGCAGUAAAUUACCGAAUGAUCUUAAAGCAGGAGAUGGAACAUUUAUUCACUACCCAGUGGUCCAGAUCCACCAGCUGGAGAGUCAGGGGGCAGGGUACAAGUCUACACUCUUUGACCCCCUCCAAGGGUUAGAGUACAUAUUUAUAGUCCAAAACCACAUUAAUCAUAAGGGGCUGUCACUAUGAUUCAAAACCAUAAACAAAUGUCAUGAGAUCUAAAAUCAUAAGCAGAAGGGGAAGUGGGUCAAAAUGACCCUAGUUAAGUGUAAGUUAAAGAAUGGUUACUAACGUCUAGACAAUCAUUCUCUGACAAGAUACAUUGUCCAAGAGAAAUGGGAACCAAAAAGAGAACAAUUUUACAUUGUAUAAGAAUUUCCAUUUUGUGUUGCCAAACAUGCAAUGCUAAGCAACUGUUGAUGGGUACAGAGUGGGGGCUUUCCCAUGGGGAGAAGCAUUUCUUAUAUGACUUGGAGUGCCGGGGUAAAAUGGAGUCUGUUUGGUCAUUGCUUAUAGAGCCUGACUCAUAACAUAAUGAAGAGUAGCAAUUAUUAGUUGAGUUCUGGUUUUAUGUGUAACAUAAAACCUGGUACUGGCUAGCCCUCAAUCAUGAACAACCGAAGACUGGACAAAACAUAUGAGGCAUCUGUUUUAAAUGCUGGAUAAUUGUCCAUGCUAGUCAGUUGGAAUGAAGGAAAUCUCACAAGCUGUGUAUUAGUCAUGGUUCUCUACAGGAACAGAAUCAACAGGAAGUAUGAUUAUAAAAAAGGGGAUUUAUUAGAUUGGCUUACAAGACCAGAAGCUGGAUGGUCCACAAUGGCUGUCUGCAGGAGGAACCAGUAGUUGCCCAGUUCAAGAGGCUGAAGCCUCAGAACAAAAGGGAUCAAUGAUAUUACCCCAGUCUGAGACCAAAGGUUUCUGGAAACUCCCUGGAGAGUCACUGGCAGAGUCCGCUUUGGAAGAGUGAAGGAGUGAGAGUCUGAUAUCCUCAGGAAAUCGCAGUGCAAUCAAGAACCCAUUGAAGAAGAAUAGAACUUGCAUCUGCUGCUGCUUCCAUGUUCUUCCAACUUUUAUUCCAUCCAAGCCACCAUCCUAUUGCAUGGUGCUGCCCAUAGUCAAGGAGGUUCCCCACUUUAGUUUGCUGUCCCACAUGCCAGUCUUUCCUAGAUGCAUCCUCAAUGACACACCCAGAAACCUCUUAGUCUUGGGCAUCUCUUAAUCCAAUCAAGGCAAUUCAAAUUAACCAUUAACAAAGUGUGACUUCUGAUUUGCUGGAUUAUUUCCUAAGAAUCUUCUGACUGUAGGUCUAUGUGCUGGAAUCGAAGCAGAGUAUGGUAGUUUUAUUGAGUUGUCAGAGAGUAGAGUUUGAGGCAGCUGAAGCAGCUGAAAUCCCUGGGGCUGGGCAGUAGACAGGAAGGAACUCCUGAGUGCAGAGAGGACACUCCAGAAAUCUGGGCAUUUGAGUUGUUCUCCUAGACCUGAACUGAAGCCUGUGCAGAAUAAGAAUAUAAAAAUUUAAGGAAGAAUGCCUGCUACAGCGUUGAAGGUGGAAUAAAGAUAUUAGAGGUCAAGCAUAGUUGGGAGACUUUGGCAGUCUAUUGCUGCCAGAGCAGAGAAACCUCAUUACCACUCUGAGGAUAUGAGUCACCAGAAAGACAAUGCCUGAGGAGAAGGACCAUAUCUAGAGCAAGGCCCACUCCAGAUUCGUUUUAGCAAAGCCCAAAAUAGAGUCAUGAAAAGAUCUAUAGGGAGGACAGAUGUUAUGGUUUGAAUAUGAACUGCCUCCCAAAGAUUCAUUUAUUGAAGUCCUGAUCCCCAGUGGAGCAGCGUUCAGAAGUAGGGUUUUGGGGGAAUGGUUAGAUCACAGAGACUUUCAUUUAUUCAUAGAUUAAUCCAUUCAAUGGAUUAAUAAUUUGAAGAGACAACUGGAAAGUGGUGGAAACUCUAGGACGUGGGGCCUAGCUGAAGGGAAUGAAUCCUUGGGAGCAUGCCCUUAGAGACUUUAUCUUGUCCCCAGUCCCUUCUCUAUCUCUGCUUCCUAGCUACCAUAAUGUGAGCAGCUUUGCUCUACCACACCCUUCUACCAUGAUAUUCUGCCUUCCCUCAGGCCCAAAGCAAUGGGGUCAGAUGAUCAUAGACUGGAACUUCUGCAAUUAUAAGCCAAAAUAAAUCUUCACUCCUUUCAAGUUUUUAUGUCAGGUAUUUUGGUCACAGUGAUGAAUAGCUGACUAGUACAACAAAAUUUGGAGAUCGAGAUCUGCAAGGUUAGAGGAGCUUAGAACAAACCCCAAACUUCCUCAGAUCUUCCCUAAUAAAGCAUAAAACUUGGCCUACACAAGUUCAAGGUGAUUAACAAUAAUCAAUUACCUUCUAAAAGAAAAAUCUACACUAUUCAAAGGAAGAUAUAGAAUUAAGAAUCACUACAAUGAAUAAUCCACAGUUUUUAACAUAGAAAUUAAAUAUGAAAAAAGCCCAGAAAAAUGUGAUGUAUAGUCAAGAAAAAUUAAAUAGUCAACAGAAGUGGAUGACCCUGAUGUUAGAUUUAGCACCCAGACUUUAAAAGCAGCUAUUAUAAAUGUGUUCAAAUAGUUAAAGAAAAAAUAUAUAUAUUUUUGGUAUCAGGGAUUGAACCCGGGGCACUUUACCAGUGAACCACAUCCCCAGCCCUAUUUAUUUUUUAUUUUGAAAUAGAGUCUUACUAAAUUGCUUAGGGCCUCCCUAAAUUACCGAGGCUGGCUUUGAACUUGUGAUCCUUCUGCCUCAGCCUCCAGAACUGAUGGGAAUACAGGCACCACCAUGUCCAGCAGAAAAAUAUAAUCUUAAUAAGUGAAUUGAUAGGGGUUCUCACUAAAGAAAUUAAAGAUAAAAAAAUCAUACCUAAACUUUAGAAUGGAAAAAAACAAUGCAUCAGGAAGAGAGAAAAUACUAAAUCACAGUGACAAUGUGAAAGGCAUAGACUUCAACCUCAUAGAAAUAAUUUACAACUUAAUACAAAUAUAACAAUUUACUACUCAGCUAUUCUAAUAUGUCUAGCUCACUACAGAAAGUUUUGUAUCUAUGUACAUGUAGAGGUAAUAAUUAUAGCGAAAAAUGCUAACAACCUAAAAAGAAAAUGUCUAAAUAAAUACUGAUCAACUUUAAAAGAAUUAGAUCUAUAUGUACCAACAUGGGUGGAUAGCAAAAAAAAAAAAAUGCAGAAAAUGGAACAGUAAGUUGUAGAAUGAUAGUUACAGUGAUAAAUACAGUAUGACAUUUAAAUACAUAAAAAUGUGAUAGCUCAUGAUAUGUUUAUGGAUUCAGAUAUAGGUAGUAGGUUGAGCUAUAUUAAAUUUCAGUUAUUAUAUGUCAGAAAUUAUUGAAUAUGGGCAACUUUGUAAUAUUAUACCUAUUAGUGAAAAGUAUUAAUAAUGAACUGGAUGGAUUAACAACAAAUUCAUUCAUGAUUUUCUUUGAGUAAAUGUGUACAGAAAGUAACAAACAGGAUUUCAUUUAUCUGUAGUACUUUUUAAAUUCAAAAUAAAGACAUUAGUUAAUUCUGACAAAUACAUGGGUAUUUGUUUUAAUACUACUUGAAUUUUCCUUUUUAUAUGUUUACAGUAACAAAAAAUGAAUGGGAAGGUAUGUUCAUUUUGGAGUAUUCUACUUCUAGGUAAUGGAGAAAGGUAGUUUUCAGGGCAUUUGGAAUAAGGCUAGUGUCUGUGGGCAGCAGGGCAGUAGAAUGGUUAGCGCUUUAGGAAAAGGAGAGAACAGUGGUAUUUACUGGGAGUUAUUUUGUGCAGGAGACAUUGCAUUGAUUACUUAGUGUUGCAAUAACCCUGGGAGGUCUUAUAAAUGAAAAUAUAAAGGUUUACAGAAAUUAAUAAAAUAACUUCCUCAAACUCAAAAGUACUAUAUGGUGGAGCCUGGAUUUGAACCCACAUCAACUCCAAAGCCCUUUCCAUUAGAGAUCUUUCUUGACUUCCCAUUAUCAUCUGUAUUAAGCUUCUUCAAAGAAACAGAACAAAAGGAUAAAUAUAAUAAGAGAUUUGUCAUGAGGAAUUGACUCAAAAGAUUAUGGAAUCUAAAAAAGUCCCAGGAUUUGCUGGCUGUAAGCAAGUGACUUGGGAAACAAGUGUCGUUGUUGCCAGAAUUUUAGGGUGAGUCCCCAGCUCUGGUGGUCCCAAUUGACCAGAAUCAGCUACCUGUCUAAUAUUUUAGUCAAAGAGAUGAGUGGUGGUGAAGGGAAGGAGAGAAGCUUCAAUUUGAGUGACCACACCAAGAAGGACAGAUAAGGGGUAUAGUGUACCGAGAUCUCUCUUCAAAGGUUUGGCAAAAAAUUUAAGGUGUUAUAGAAAAGGGGAACAAAGGCCAGGACUAGAGGCUUGCAUGAACAGGGGGUUUUGCAUAGCUGGUAGAAUGAGUGAUGCUGGUCAUGGGACAGGGGUCCCCUUAUUACUUUGACUAUAAUUCUUGCUUUCUGACAAAUGGUGUCUUAUUUUAAAACUGACUUUCUUCCCCCCUUCUUUUAUCCCUCUCCCCAUCCCUAGCCAUGAGGGAAGAAAGAUUAACCUUCUUCCCAUCUGUCCUUUGGCCCACUGACCACAGGAAUGAAGUAAUUCAGACUUGGAAGACGGCACCAGUAGAUCUAAGAAAGAGCUCUUACUCAAGGCUAUUGCUUGACAGGAAUUGUGACUCCAGAUAGGCACAUCUGGAGUUUAGCCCCACUGUUUUUCCUGACAAUAAGAAUCACAGUUUCUGGGACAGGAGUCCCUGUGUUUUUCAUCUGCUAGCAAAUCAAUAAAAACGUCUUUUUUCCUUUUCUCAAAACCUUGUCCUUGUUACUGGAUCAACAAUGGUGACAAAGGAUUGAGCUUUCAGCAUCAGCCAGGUCAUGGUCUGGUUGAUUACUAUCUCAGGAUUGGUUCUGUGAAGCUCUGGGAAGGUCAUCAUCACUUGAGGGGUCAAUUCAGUUCCCGUGGUAAAAUGAUCUCCUGCUAAGGGGACAGCCUGGGCUUCAUUUUGGGAUAGUUACUCCCUCUUAGGGGUCAGUCUCUUUAUUGGGUGAUCCAUUAUGUGAGGAUCCCUGUUGCUUGGAGGUAGUUUCAGUCCUCUGUCCAUACUUAACAAUUGCCAAUGCUUACCAGUUGGGCCUGUUGUUCCUGGAAUCCAAGGUAACUGUGGAAGGAUGUGGCUCAGAGAAACAAAAGUCAAAGGAGGCAAAUAGUCAGAUAGGGAUAAAAUAGAGGUGGUCAGGUCAGUGACUGGGUCUUCCUUCAGUGUCAUUGAGUCCAGGUGUAAAGAGCUAAGAACCAGGUGAAUCCUAGUGUGAGAGCAGGAAAAGACCAACAGGCAGGCCUCAAACAAGAGGGAUGCAUUCCUCUACCAGUCAGUCCUCUGCUUUUUUUCCCUUUUUGUAUUGGAUGACCUCACCCACAAGGCAAAGGCCACUUACUUUUUGAGUAUGUUGGUUCAAAUGCUAAUUUCAUCUGGAAACACUCCAAAAUAUAUCCAGAAAUACUUUUUAAUCUGGCACUCCGUGGCACGGUAAAAUUAACGGUGGCCCAUAAAAUUAACCACCACAGCAUUUUAACACCUUCUAAUCCAUAAUCCUGUUUUUUAUUUCUCUCAACAGCAUUUAUCACCAACUGAUUGUUUCUUUGUUUUCUGUGCAUCUCUCUCCUUCUCUCUCUCUCUUUUUUUUUUUUUGCCAAAAUGAGAAAUACUGUUAUUUAUUCACUUCAUUGCAUAUUUGAUUAAUUCUCUAACCUUGAAGCCUACAAUACUGUGUAUCUGUGCACCAAGCUAUGAGAAAAUCUAAAAUAAGGCUGUUCAGAUUCGGAAAAUUUCAUUUUCAUUAACAGCAGAAUGAGCCAUGACCUGUAAGCCAUUUCUAUUGUGAAGAGAAAAGAAAAAUUAGAAACAAAAGCACAUAAAGAAGAGUGCAUAAAUUAGAUUUUAGAGCAGAGGCGCUUUUGAAAACCUUUGUAUUUUUCUUUGUUAUUGUUUUGUUGUUGUUGCUUUGUAUGUCUCUCUCCCCACCCCUCCCACUUGCACCCGCAAGGUAGUCCUCUCUCCCCCACAUGUGACCUUGACUAGAUCAUGUGUUUCCCUGUUAUGUGUUCUGUAUAUGUCCCCAAGUCUGUUCUGCAGUUUGAACUUUAGACUGCUACAUCUACUUCUUUUGUGCAUUUGCUAAUUCUAUAUUAUUUAACUUUUUUGUUAUGAUGGUGGCUAUAUGUUGUAGUAACUAAUAUUAAUAUCAAAUAAUUAUACUUUACUAUUCUUUUUUAUUAGAUAUUUCCAUUUUACUUUUCCUUCAUAUAAUCAUUGGAAUUGUUUUUAAGUCCAAAAAAAGAAAAAAAAAUUCCUUAAAAAGAUGUAUAACUAUUUGAAGUAGUAUAGGAAGAAUACAGAAAGAUAUCAAAACAUACUUCCCCUGUGGCCUUUGAACCAAGGUCCUUAGCAGAUUCCUUCCAGCAUACUGCAUGCAAUUUUAUAAACAAAGGGGAACUCAAAAAGGGCAAAAUGGAACAUUGUAUCUAUCCCCCAAAGCAUGUACCACAGAGAUUUCACCCUGACCUGUUUUUUUCUUUUUUCUUUUUGCAUUACUGGGUUUGAACCCCGAGUAUUACCCAUGCAAGGCAAGCACUUUACCACAGAGCUAUGUCCUAGGCCUUAUUUUUAUUUUGAGACAGGGUCUUGCUAAGUUGCCCAGGUUGGCCUUGAACUUGUGAUCUUCCUGUCUCAGCCUCCUCAAUAACAGAUUAUAGACAUGCCUACUGUAAUCUUAAUGGAAGAGUUGGUUCCCAACUUCUUUUGUGAGGGAAAGUCACUCCCACCUCCAUACACACAAAGCUUUGCUUGAUGUAAGUCCCAGAACUGAGAUGGAGUCAUGGCCUUGUUUCAAAUGAGCCUCAGAAAUGACAGGCAUAAUCUUUUAGAAGCAAGCUCUUAACAGCUGGGCCAGGUGCUCCACCCCAGAUCAUCCUCUUAGGGACAGUGGGCUUCUCCCUGGUAGCAGAACCAGCGGUACGUUCUCUGGACCAAGGCCACCUGAGGGCUCUUCUGUCAAAAGGAUGACCUUGCAGAUCCCCAGGUUCUGCCACAAGAGACUGCCCCAUUCUCUGUAUUCACCUGAAGGUGCCAUUGUCUAAUGCAUGGGCUCCUCCACAUUCUUCCAUUCACUCUUACCCUCAUGGGACCCUUCCAGAGGCAAAGACCCUAGGAAAGAAACCCAAGAACAGAAUUGUAGAAGGGGAUGGUCCUUGAAUCUGCCUCCAGACAUUCUCCACAGUAUAGCUGGUCUUCAGAUAGAGUUGAUGGUCAGGCACUCUUCAUCCUCCAUGGUAGGGAAAGUUUCAGGUAGAUAGCACAUGUCACCUUCUUCAGCAUUCCUGUUCAGUUAAGCCCCCGCCCCCCCCAAGUCUCCUGAGAUCAAACUUGGAAUAGCAGUUUUCUCUCAUAUUCUUUUCCAAAGAGGUAGUCAAUGUUGGUACCUCCAUUUCUUGGUGAAGUUUGCAUAAAUGUGGACAGGACUCCGGAGAACCUGUCACAGACUUGGCCCAUCUUUUUUCUCUGUCUUGGUCCCCUGUGCCUCUCUUGUGGAAAGACUCUGGAUUGAGACCCAGGCCUUCCCCUGCAUCUAGGGAGGCAGUGUCCCUCCAACUGUCCUCUUGAUCCAGGCUGGGGUUGGGCUCUGAGUCAGUAUAUGUUGCUCUGGUGAGCUCUUAGUCUACUGAGAGUACAGGUGUGGUUUCAGAGUGAGACAGGGACAAGGACAGGUAGUCAGAAAAGAUAGUAAAUGAGUCGGAAAGAUGAGGACUGAUUAUCCAAGGAAAGGAAAUGUGUUGCUAAUACCUCAUUUUCCAACAUGUAAUCCACAUUUUCCAACACAAGCAAUUGCCCCUUGGGCUACUCUUUAACACACCCACUUCCGUGGGCACCCAGCUCUGGGCCCUGACUUCUUUCUGGAGAAGUCUGUUAUCUCUGUUCUGUCUCAUUCUUAAAUAAAACUUGCUUUCUAUGCUUGCCUCAGCAUUUUUUGGGAGUUUAAUUUUCAACACCAUUGAAUGAGGACCUGAUCCUGAUUCCCAGCACUGGUAUCAAGAGGUUCAGUCCAUGGUAGACUGACUCCAUCAUUCUGGGUCAGAGAUGAAGUAAUCAUGGUGGAAGAAUAUGGCAGAGAAAAGCAGGUCAGGACAUGUCAGCCAGGAAACAGAGAGCUGUGUCUCCCUCUCUCUAUAGAAUACAAGCUUUCAGAGUAAGGAUCUUGCCUUUUUUUGUUCACUGCGAAUGCAUACAGAAGUGCAGAAUGCUUGUGGGCACUCAAUAAAUGUAUUAAAUGAAAACACUUUUUAAACCUUUAAAACAUUUUGGAGUUUUUAAGUAGACUCUGACAACACUUCCAAAUUGUGCCUCUAUUUUAUGGUUCUUCUAGAGUAGACAUACAUAGCUCAUAUAUCUGCACCAGUUGCAAAAGGUCUUUAAAUAAAUUUAGGAUAAUUUGUCUUUUCAUUAAAGUUUCUCAGGCCAUUCUGCUUUAGGAGACCAGGACCUGAAGUCAGAGAGUCCUGGGUUGAAACACUAAUUUUGCCUCCUACCUAACUCUGAAUCUCCUGAGUAAGGUCACAAUUCCUUUCUGAGCAAUAGUUUCUCAUUUGCAGAAUGCUGAUUAUCAUACAUUGAGAGUUCUCACCAGGAUUAAAAACUCCAAUGUCCGUGAAAGCACCUUUAGACUGCAAAGUGAUUUCUAGACCGUCAGGUGGCAUUCGAUUGUAAGGAGCACAAAGCACUUUUUGCAGGAGGCUUUGCCAAGAACCCAGGCUGUUAAAUCCAUAUCUUGAAUGAUUUGUCUUUUUCUCUUCUUUGUACUACCCACCAAGAAUAGAAAUCACCUAAUAAAGGCUGGCUGAAUGACUGACAUUAGGAAAUCACAGGAGUUGAUAAAAGAACAAUUGAGUAUUCUCUGAGAAGAUGGCAUCUCAUUUGAAAUUCUAAGUGAGGCUGAGCUGGGAACACAUAAUCCUUCAAGGGUAUGAAGUUUAAUUGGUUUGUCUUAGGUGACUAGAACUAAAAGGAGAAAAAUCAAAGGAAAACCGAGAAAGGUUAAGUGUCGCAGUAUGAUACAAAUGAUUUAGAUAAAACAUUUAAUUUAAUGAUUUAACAGUUUUCUAACUAUUUUCUUCCUUUUCCACUCUCCCGCCAACAUUUUAAGAAUAUGUUCUUUAAGGACAGAUAGAAAACUAAAAGAAAGUGCCCUUUUAAGGAGUAAAUGUAUUCUUGGAAUAUCACGUGUAAAUGAAACUUUUAUAGGUUGGACACCCUGAGUCAUAUUUAUGUAUUUAUUAUUUGGGUACAGGGGAUUGAACUCAGAGGCAUUCGACCACUGAGCCACAUUUCCAGCCCUAUUUUGUAUUUUAUUUAGAGACAGGGUCUCAUGAGUUGCUUAGUGCCUUGCUUUUGCUGAGGCUGGCUUUGAACUUGACAUCCUCUUGCCUCAGUCUCCCCAAGCGCUGGGAUUACAGGCAUGUGCCACUGUGCCCAGCUAAAUUAUAUUUAAAUACAUGCAGAGAGCUGACUCUUGGCAAAUUAGAAUACAAACAUUUGCAUAAUAGUAUAAUUUACCAGGUCAACCGGAUAAAUAUGAGACACCCUUUUGUACAUUGUGCUAAUUUCACAAAACCCCUAAAGAUAAGAUAUAUUAUUCCCGUUUUACAGAUAAUGGAGUCCAGCCCAUGAGUUUAACAGAUCUGUCCAUUGUCACUCAGAUAAUAAGUAGUAAAUCUAGAGUUUAAAUUGGUUGCAAGUCAACCUACAAAACUACAGCUGCAUCGAAAUAAGAAAGAAUGACUUCUGAAAAAUGGUAAUUUUUCUUCUAAAUUUUAGUGAAAAAUAAUUAGAAUUUUUGUACCAUCCAGGUAACUAGGAUUUUCAAUGAGUAUGCAUUUGAUUAGUCUUCCAGUUGGUCCAAAACUUACUCCCUCUCCCAUGUGCCUGUGUCAUCUAUGAGUGGUGGCAAGUGGGAUCUCUCAAAGAGGACAAUUGGAUGUGUUACUUCCUCAUUUAAUCUUAGUGCUUCUCACUUCCUUUAGGUUAGUAUCAUUUAAAACAUUUCCUCAAAGUCCUUGGGUACACCUUGACCAUCUAUCCCUCUAUUCUUGCUUCUUCUGCUCCCUUCUAAAUUCUUAUUUGUAUUUCCCUUUUUGCUCUAAGCUUUGUCUCACCUCUGCCUGGAAUGAUUUCUCCUCUUGUGGGUUUGGUAAACUCCUCCUAAGCCUUGCCUUAAAGAUCAGGUAGAUAGUUUGAAUCAUACUAUGACACUUAACCCUUUUCAGUUUUCCUUUGAUUUUUCUCCUUUUAGUUUUCGUCACCUAAGACAAACCAAUUAAACUUCAUAACCUUGAACAAUUAUGUGUUCCCAGCUCAGCCUCCUACCUUCUCUGUGAUGCCCAUGUCAUUUUCCCAGACAGAGUGUUUUCCCCUCCAAUCCCUCUUUGAGCACUCCUGUCUUUCCUGGGUCAUUGCUGUGUCCUUUCCAGACCGUAAGCAACAUGAGGAGGACAAGUACUUGUGUCUCUAGAACCCAACAUGAGGUUUGAACAAAGCAGUAACUUAAGAACCUGUCCAGAGUCCACUGCAACCACCACCUCAAUUAUGUAAUAUAUAUAUAUAUAUAUAUAUAUAUAUAUAUAUAUAUAUAAUAUAUAAUAUAUAAUUGUAGAUAUGUUAGGUAUACAUAUUAUAUAUAAUUAUAUAUAAAUAUAUAUCAUUAAAUAUUUAUUAUAUAUAUAAAAUCCUGAGCCUUCAGGGCCUUGCUGUAACCCUCAAAUUCCUCUUCCUCCUCCCUCUCUAUCUUAUCUUUUUUUGAACAGCACAUGCUCCAUCAGCAUUCCUGGAUGCAAGAAUGAAUGUUUGGAUUGCCCAAAUGAUUCAGAGCUCCUGAGCUCCUAUGCAGACCAGUUGCUAAAUGUGUCCAUUCCUUAUCUUUCAAACGAAAACAUGAGAAAACUAAAGUACAGUUUUUGCAGGUAUCUUAGAUUGGUCCAUCCUUUGCCUUCCCAUAGUAGGAUGUUGCCCUGGGGAAGUUCUUAACUGUAGGAGAGUCCCUUAACUUUUUAAUCUUCUAGUUUCCUCCCAAGCUAAAGGGAAAGACCUGCUAUUAGGCUGCUAGGUGCUGUGCAUAAAAACCUCAUUUUAUUGUUAUCUUCUUUCCCGUUUUUGAAGAUAAGGAAACUGAAAGGUUCAGCAAGGUUAAGUAAUUUUCCCAAGUUCUCUUAAUUUAUAAAGGGCUUAGCUGAAGUUUGGCCUUAGGCUUUUUGACUUUUCAAAUCAAUCUUUUCCCUACUGCAUCAAUAAUAUUGUUGUAGUCUUGAGUUGUAGUGAGAUAAUAAUGAGAAUGUUUUGGAGUGUGUAAAGCACUAUACAGAUAUUAAAGUUUUUAAAAAAUCCAUCAUUUUGUCACAACAUUCAAUAUUAUUCUCAAAGCAGAAUUAAGAGAUAGGGGAAAAUGCCUUAUUUUAAAACAGCAAUAACAACAACAAACUCAGCAGACAAAACAAAUCAGAAUGUGACCUAUAGCAUUUAAUAUCUUUUACUUAAUCCUUUGCAAAUGCUCAGAAUUAAUCCCAUAUUCACAAAAUAUUGUUGCAACUAGAAGAGACCUAAAUGGACAGAUACUAUAAUAUUUUCAUUUAUUGAAUCUAAAACUGAAAUGCAAAUGGGGUAGAUCAUGUGGCAAAAUCCAGGACUGGAGCCAGGGGGUUUUGACUCUGAAUCUCAGCCCUUCACAUGGCACCAUCUUAAAGGACCCAAUGUAGAAGACUAGAAAGGAAAUGAGAUGUGCCCUGUCACGGCUCAGUUGUACUGUGGAGUGCCCUUUGCUGUGCACUUUACUUACAGAGGACUGAGAAGAUCUCCUAAUUUUUAGAAAUGUACGUGGGUGUUCUUAAUCCUUCCUUACCAAGGGCAAUUAUCUCUCGAAAUUGAGUUAUUGCUUAUGAAAAUAUCUUGAUUCUUAGUAAGAAAGAGACUUGAAUUGUUUUGUACUGCAGCAAACGAAGUAGACAGGUUGGAAUGGUACAUUUCAUCUCCAAGGGAGAGGAGCUCAGUGUUUGAUUUAGAUGUUUCUGGUUUCCUUAUUAUUCUUCUCCUACUCAGAAAGACUGCCUGAGCUAAUUUCCUUCUAAAUAAAGUCUUUCUAAUCAGAUUUUCUACCCUAUAUGGAUCUCAUAAGAUACUGAUCCUUAUCCUGAAAAUUAAAACUAUUUUCCCUGUAUUUUAAUGUGUAGCAGAGAUAACAGCCUAGAAAGCCUUAAAGCCAAAGAAAGAAUGACAGUUGAUUCAUUUGAAUUUGUUACGGCAGACAACUAUAGAAAGUCUACUGUCGUGUACUGAUUAUGGAAAUGGUGCAAAGGGACAGAGACAGGAGCCUCUGACUAAGAACUAAGGAUUUGAGGUUAGGAUAAGGGUCAUGUCUCAGUAAUGAUACCACUGGCAUUGUUAUUUUAGCCAAGUUCUUUGGCUGCCCUGAACUGCAGUUUAUUCUUUUAAAUUGUGAAGAUAGUAUCAAUCUCAGAGGAUCAUUGUGAGGAGAAGAAGUGAAAGUGACUAAUAUUUAAAGUAACUGUGUGCCUGGCAUACUGUUAAGUCCUUUGCAUGCAUUAUCUUAUUUAGCCAUCACAACAACCUCAUUAGGAAAGUAUAAUUGUGAACUUCAUUUUGCGCAUUGGGAAAUUAAGGCUUAGGUUAAUUAGCCUACAAAUUACCAGUGAAGAUGGGACUUACACUUUAAUCUGCUUGACUCCAGAGCCUGUGCUUUUUCUGAACCACCGUGCAGAAAGUUUAUAUUUAUGCUUUUGCUUGUUUCUGUAUCCACUUCUAUCUAAAUGUAUGUCCAUAUCCACACAUGUCUGACUCACUGUUAUCUACAGGUUGUGUUUGCCAUAGUAUCUGCUACAUAAGUAAUUCAGAAGUCAAUAUAAUGUAUAUACUAACAGCCACAUUGAUAAGUGUUGUAAGAGGUCAGAGGAAAGUGAGACCACGUUGGACUUUUGUAGGCUUUAAGGAAGAGAAAGACCUAAUGCUGAGCAUUGAAGGGUGGUGUGACUGGCACUGUUGCUGCUCUAUCAGGCACUCUCCCUCUACUUUCUUUGUAACUGGAUGUCCUGAAUGAGGUUUAUUAGCCUCCUUUGCAGCUAAGAGAGAUAGCUCAAUGUGACUAAGUUUGGCAGGGAUACAUUAUAUAGUAAUUUCAGGAAGUUGUUAAUGGAAAGAAUAUGCUACUCUUUUUAAUUUUUCCUUUAGUAAUACUUGACAAUAAAAAUGUAUUCUGACAUAUUUAUUAUACAUACAUGGAGUAUAACUUCCCAUUUUUGUGGUUGUACAUGUUGUGGAGUUACACUGAUUAUGUAUUCAUCUAUGAACAUAGGAAAGUUACGCCUGAUUCAUGCUACUGUCUUUCCCAUUCCCUUUCCCCUUCCUUUCCCCCCAAUCCUUCCUGUCCAAUCUGGUGACCCCCUACUUCUCGUUCCCCCUGGCCUAUUGUGAGUCAGCAUCCACAUAUCAGAGAGAACAUUGUUUUUUUUUGGCGAAUGGAUUAUUUCACCUAGCAUGAUAGCCUCCAGUUCCAUUCAUUUCCCUGCAAAUGCCAUGAUUUUGUUCUUCUUUAUGGCUAAGUAAUAUUCCAUUGUGUAUAUACCACAUUUUCUUUAUCCAUUCAUCUAUUGAAGGGCACCUAGGUUGGUUCCAUAGCUUAGCUAUUGUAAACUGAGUUGCUAUAAACAAUGAUGUGGCUGUGUCACUGUGGUAUGCUUUUUUUAAGUCUUUGGGGUAUAUGCCACGGAAUAGGAUAACUGGGUCAAAUGGUGGUUCCAUUCCAGGUUUUCUAAGGAAUCUCCAUACUGCUUUCCAGAGUGGUUGCACCAAUUUGUAGUCCCACCAGCAAGAUAUAAAAGUACAUUUUUCCCCACAUCCUGACCAACAUUUAUUGUUACCUGUAUUCUUAAUAAUUGCCAUUCUGACAGGAGUGAGAUGAAAUCUCGGUGUAGUUUUACUUUGCAUUUCUCUAAUUUCUAGAGAUGGUGAACACUUUUUUCAUAUAUUUGUUGACAGAUAAAGCAUACACUCCUCUUGAUUCCUUCUUCUUUCUGAUUUGCUGCUGGGAACUUAGGCCAUCACAGGAAUUCAAGCAAUGUCCUAGGCCUGAAGAUGAGGACCACAUCAUAAGGAUGACAGAGGGGAGAGCUGGUUGGGGCUGAGUCCUGAUCAUUCUGAAAUUUUCAUGCUAGCCAUGGGCUACCUGCCACUGGAACUUUGUUAUGUGAAAGUAAAAUAAGGUCCAAUCUUUAAGUUGUUUUUACUUUAGGUCAGAUGCCACCGAAAAGCCAUGUAAAUGGGAAUGUUUGGAUUUGAUAAGUGAUUGUGAGCAAGGUAAAGAGAAACUGUGGUUUUGCUGUUAUUUACAGGUCUAGUUUUCUUGUGGAAGAGAUUUUAAGCCUUAACUAAAAUGGUAGUUGGGCUUUGGUAUCAGGCAUAUCUGAGUUGAAAUUCAGCUGCUACCAGCUCAUGACUAUGUUAUCUUAGGUAAGUCCCUCCACUUGCUGAGUCCAGUUUCCUAAUUUGUAAAGUGGGGACAGCACUACCUACUCCAUGGUGUUGUUAUGAGGAGGGAAGACAAUAUUUAAACUAAGGAGAGACCUUUAACUUUGCAGCCUCUUGGACAAUUUGUCUCAAUAAAUGGUGGCUGUUAGCAUUAUAAUAUAUCCACUGGCCAUGCCUUCUGUGACUAGAGAUGGUUAAUAUUUUAGUAUUUGAAAAUUGGAAUUAUAAUGGGAAGAUCUAGAAUUACUUCUUCUUUAAUUAUUUACUUGCUACUUAGCUUCAGGUAAGUCACCUUUCUUGAGUCUUAGUGACCUCAUUGGUUAAACGGGCAUGAUAACCUAUACCCUGCUUCCCAUGGAUCUUUGGUGAGACUUUAAAGAACUAAAGGGGAGAAGGUAAAGCUUUGGGAGGGUAUGUUCAUCUCUACAAUAGUUCUGUGUCCUUGAUUUCUGCCAGUUCCUGGUAUAUUCUGUCUCCUAUGUUCAAUUGGAUACUGCCACCAUCUUUAGUCUUCAAUUAUCUUUCAGGUCAAGAGGUUGGUCAGCUGGUACAGUCCUGACGCCUGCUCAGUAGUAGGAAUCCCAAAUCCAAGCAUAUAGUUCUAAGGCCUACUGGUGUAGGAUUGAAUUAUGAGGCAAGAACUCUCUGUGGUUAAGAACACAGGUUUUGAAAACAACUUUGAAUUUGAAUGCACUGCCACUCAAAAAAUUCUGUUAGAAAUUUGUGACCUAAGGAAAGCCUCUUAAAUUCUCUGUCCAGAGCUCCAGUUUCCUCAUCUAUGCAUAUGGGAUCAUAACAGUCACUUUCCUCUUUUGACAUGAGAACCCUAUGAGUUCCUGUUAGAUGAAGCUUGCUACAAAUGUCAUGUGUUAUUUCCUGGUUUCCUCCCUUGAGUCAGCUUUUAUUGGGACCCAGUCUCAUAUUUACCAAGAGUUAACCUGCACAUUCAGUAGUAAUUGGCACAUAGAGAAAAAGGUUUCCAGGAGGAAUGCUGUUCCUAUAGCAACCAUUUUUGGUUCUCUCAGAAAUAGGUCUGGAAUGGAGGAAUCAACUAAGGGAGGGGGGAUUUAAAAAUCAAAUAAUUCAUCUCUUGGUGGCCAUUGGGAGCAGGGAGAGUCUGGUGCAUUGUGCAUUCAGGAUGAAAUUUUACAUGUCUGGGCCAACAGAACUUGUGGUUGUCAUAGAAACUGCUUGGCAUUUACUAGCUCUAGAAGCUACCCUUCUAUCUAUGUAAUAUGGGAGGGGCUAGAAGAAACCUUAAAGUUCAUGGAGUAAGAAUGGGAGAAUUCAUGUCAAAAGAGGGAGAGGGUUUGCCAAAGAAAUUCAGUUCUUUAGGUUCUAUAAAUGCCAAGCUAGUCUGGUGACUUAUUAUAAGCUUGUUAUUUUGACAGACAUUUGUUGAGAACUCCUGUGGGAAGCCUUCUCUAGGUAUGAAGGAUGCUGAGAUAAAAGACAUAAGGUCCGGAUCCAAGGUGGCGGGCUAGAGGGAGGCAGCAUUCUGUGUUGCUCCGUGACCUGGGACUCAAGUAGUGAGAAUACUGCUUCUCUGCGAGCUAUAUUCCUGCUUCCUCACAGGAUUCAUGGCCACCAUGCCCAUCUAGGGCUCCAGGCCUCAGCAUCAGAGUAGGUCUCCCAAAUACUGGCCCACACAGGGUACCCGAGCAUCAACACCUGUGCAGAACUUUCUGCCACCCACCGGAGCAAAUAGGUGACCACGCAGGACACCGGGCAGCUUCCCACACACAAUAACUCUGGCCGCCAUUCCUCUGUGAACUCCCAUCUACCAACAUGGGGCUCCCCUGGUCGCCGCCAUCUUGGGACCCUGCAGCAGCUCAGAUAAUCCCCUAUGCGCAGUGGCCUGCCUGCACCCAAGAACUUCACACAGGCUCUGAAGGACAGCCACACACUGCAUGCCACAGAGCUGUCUAUGAACUCAUUGUCCUACACCAUUGCUUGGACCCGAUAGUCCACCGCUGAAAGCAGGCGCCUCCAUCUUGGGUCACAUUCAUUACCAUCUUCAGUGGGGGGCAACUCCCAGUUUGGAACUUUGGCUGGCCAGGCACCUAGCUUCUAAUUCCCCCCUCUCCCCAGCAGCCACUACCGCGGCACAGUGAUAUCCUGGUUACUUUCACUAUUCUGAGGGUGGAGAUACCAGCAAAUAACAAACGACCCCAUCUAUUGGAUGAGAAGGGAAGCAGGAAAGAUACAAAUUUCCAACUAAAACAAUCCUCUUUCUUCCUUCAAAAAUUUUUUUCCCCUCUCCCUCUCUAUUCUCCUUCCCUCAUAUCCCUAACAUGUGAAACAAAGUACUUUGCAUGAGUUAGGAUUUUGAGGACAGGGACAUCUGAAUAGUAUAUUACAGCUGUGUUGUAUAUAUUCUUUUUUUUUUCCUUCUUACAUCAUGCCAAUUUCUACUACUUUAACAUUUUUAAUUUUUCUUAAUAUAUAUGUGUGUUUGUUUUAUGAACUCAACUGUCUUCUCACUUACUUGUCUACACAAAGUUACUUCCUCUCUCCUCUCCAGUUACUAAUCUUCUUCUUUAGAGUCCUCUUUCACACUUCCUAAGACACAACUCUACAUCCUCACUUCCUACCUCCUCAGCAUAUCAUCCUACACCUCACCCCCAGUUCUUUGUCCACCAUCAGAAACUGUAAACCUUUUUACAAACCUAUUGAUUAUAUUGUAGAUAAUAAUUGAAUUCACCAUUCUGUACAUUGUGACUGUAAAUGUCUUAAUAGGAAUUAAUUGUUUUAAGGCUAUUGUUUAUAUUGGGAUCUGUUAACAUUGUCCUUCACCUCAAUGGAAGUGUCCUACAGGGACACUAUAAGCUUAUCGGGUAAAAAUGGUAAUGCCUUGGAUUCACAGUGCUAGAAGGGAAGACACACAAGCAACAUAAAAAGAUAAGGGAGGAAAGUGUGGAAAUCAAGAUACCAUAUUAUUAGAAUUUAUGGCCAGCACAGCAGAAGAAAUUACAGAGAAGGAGUUCAGGAUGUACAUAAUUAAAAUGUUCUAUGAAUUAAAGGAUGAUAUAAGAGAGCAAAUAUAGGCAGCAAAAGAUCAUUUUGACAAAGAGCUACAUAAACAAAUACAGGAAGCAAAACAUUACUUUAAUAGGGAGAUAGAGGUUCUUAAAAAAAAAAAACCUAACAGAAAUCCUUGAAAUGAAACAAUAAACCAAAUUAAAAGUUCUCAAAAAAAUAUAAGAAAUUAUACCCCAUCUGAUUCAAAUGUAUGAUGUCAAGAUCAUUGUACUGUCAUGAGUAACUAAUUAAAACAAAUAAAAAAAAUUUAAAAAUUCAAUUGAAAGCAUCAACAACAUAUUAGACCACUUGGAAGACAGGACCUCAGAUAUAUAUAAUCUUGAAAAUAAUGUAGACCACACAGUGAAAAUGCUAAGAAACCACGAACAGAACAUUCAAGAAAUAUGGGAUAGCAUAAAAAUUCCAAAUUUAAGAGUUAUUGGGAUAGAGGAAGAAAUAGAGUUCCAAACCAAAGGAAUGAACAAUCUAUUCAAUGAAAUAAUAUCAGAAAAUUUUCCAAACAUGAAGAAUGAAUUGGAAAAUCAAAUCCAAGAAGACUACAGGAUGCCAAAUAGAAAUAGAAAAAGCAAUCAUGAAAUUCAUUUGGAAAAAAAUAAGAGAUCCAGAAUAGUUAAAGCAUUCCUUAGCAAGAAGAGUGAAGCAGGUGGCAUCGCUAUACCAGACUUUAAACUAUACUACAGAGCAAUAGUACAAAAUAGAGACCAAUGAUACAGAAUAGAGGACACAGGGACUAACCCAUAUAAUUACAGUUAUCUUAUAUUAGACAAAGACACCCAAACCAUACAUUGGAGGAAAAAAUAGCCUCUUCAACAAAUGGCGCUGAGAAAACUGAAAAUCCAUAUGCAACACGAUGAAAUUAAACCCCUAUCUCUCACCAUGCACAAAACUCAACUCAAAGUGGAUCAAGGACCUAGGUAUUAAACCAGAGAACCUGUGUCUAACAGAAGUAAAAGUAGGCCCAAAUCUCCAUCAUAUAAGAUUAGGCCCCUAUUUCCUUAAUAAGACUCCUAUAGUGCAAGAAUUAAAAUCAAGAAUUAAUAAAUGGGAUGGAUUCAAACUAAAUAGCUUCUUCUCAGCAAAAGAAAUAAUCAGUGAGGUGAAUAGAGAGCCUACAGAAUGGGAGCAAAUUUUUACCACAUGCAUAUCAGAUAGAGCACUAAAGUCAAAAAGCUAAACACCAAAAAAAAAAAAAAAAGAAAGAAAGAAAGAAAGAAAGAAAGAAUUAACCCAAUCAAUAAAUGGGUCAAGGAACUGAACCAACACUUCUCAGAAGGUGAUAUACAAUCAAUCAACAAAUAUAUGAAUAAAUGUUCAACAUCUCUAGCAGUUAGAGAAAUGCAUAUCAAAACUACUCUAAGAUUUCAUCUCACUCCAAUCAGAAUGGCAGCUAUUAAGAAUACAAACAAAAUAAAUGUUGGCAAGCAUAUGGGGAAAAAGGCACACUCAGACAUUGCUGGUGGGACUGAAAUAGGGUGCAACCAAUGUGGAAAGCAGCAUGGAGAUUCCUUGGAAAACUGAGAAUGGAACCACCUUUUGACCCAGCUAUCCCACUUCUGGGUCUAUACCCAAAGGACUUAAAAACAGCAUACUACAGGGACACAGCCACAUCAAUAUUUAUAGCAGCACAAUUCAUAAUAGUUAAACUGUGGAACCAAUGUAGAUGCCCUUCAGUAGAUGAAUGGAUAAAGAACAUGUGAUGUAUAUACACAAUGGAAUAUUACUCAGCAUUAAAAGAGAAUAAAAUCAUGGCAUUUUCAGGUAAAUGGAUGGCAUUGGAGAAUAUAAUGCUAAGUGAAUUUAGCCAAUCCCCAAAAACCAAAUGCUGAAUAUUUUCUCUGAUAUAAGGUGGCUGAUUCAUAGUGGGGUUGGAAGGGGUAACAUGGGAAGAUUAGAGGAACUCUAGAUAGGGCAAAGGGGAGGGAGGGAAAGAGAGGGGGCAUAGGGGUAAAAAAGAUGGUGUAAUGAGAUGGACAUCAUUACCCUAAGUACAUGUAUGAAGACACGAUUGUUGUGAGUUUACUUUGUAUUCAACCAGAGAUAUGAAAAAUUGUGCUCUAUAUCUGUAAUAUAAAUUAUAAUGCAUUCUGCUGUCACAUAUAACAAAUUAGAAUAAAAAAAUUUUUUAAAAAGAAAUAAGGUUCUUACUAUGAGGGUCAAGAUCUAACAGUGGAGAGAGACCUAGGCCAUAUUUUAGCUCUGAUAGGGGCACAAUGGAAGCAGAUGGCAAAAGCUUCUAAACAGCCUGGAUAGCCUGAAGAGCUAAAGUAGAAAUUAGCCAGAUAAAAGAGGGAUGGCAGUAGGACACACCACACAAAUGGAAUAGCAUGCAUGAAGACCCAGAGGGAGAAGAGAGAAAGCUGGAUGCUGAUCCUAGAAUUUAGAAUAGUUCUGCCUGGCUGGAAAAUACAUGAGGUGGAGGAGCAGCCACAGAUAUAUCUAGAAAUGAAGUCAACAAGACUCAGAUCACAGAGGCCUUAAAAGUCUGGAAAAGGGAUCACCUCUUCAUUCUUUGGGCAAUGGAAUGACGCUUUAAUGUCUUUGCUUUAGAUAUUUUCUCCAUAAAGACCAUAUUUUUCUUAAACCUGAAGCUAUUUUUAAAUAUCUAUAUGUUUAAUAGCUAUAGAUAAAGCAAAUAUGGCCAAAUAUUAACAAUUGUCAAUAUUUUUUUUUUUACAUAUCUGGUAGGCAAGCAGAUGUUCAUAAUGGUACUGUGUGGGGGGGUAACUUUCCUUUACGUAGGAGUUCUUCUUAGAUAAACAUUUUCAGAUAAAAAUGAUUGGGGAGUUGCUGCAUUCUGGCUUUGAAUUUCUUGGGCAGUUUGGACAGUCAAUGCACAGGGAUUCUGUGCCUACUUUCUACAAAGGAUAUGGCCAGUUUACCUGAGUUACCUCCAACAAUCUCAGAAUGCCCAGCCUCUCAAUCCAGUAAGUGUCCUGCUCCAUGUAACAUUUAUCUCUCUGUUCUAGGAAUAAGGACUCAAACAACAAAUAAGUUGUGAUUCCUGUGCUCCUGAGUCUAGGAGAGGUCAUGAAGUAAACGGAUCAUUGGAAGUGAUCAUUGGAAGUACAGCGAAGUGACACAGAGAAGGUUCAAGCUGCUGUUGGAGCACGUGGGAAGCGUUAGGAAGACUGUGUCAAUCAAAGCAAAAACCCUUUUCCCUUCCUGUGAUCUUUGCCAAAGAGAUGCGGGGUGACUGGAGAAAGGACACUUG
rnacentral:lncRNA from 1 species